CCAGAAGGCUUCGCGAGCCCAGGAGGGAAGCGGGGCCGCGGCAGGAAAGGCGCGAGCGAGCGGAGGCGGCGGCUGGUGCCCACCCCAGCGCGGUCUGGUUGGCAGCCGUCGGUGCGGCGGACUGACUCGGCUUAGCAUCCUAGCGUUCCUGGGCGCCGGCCGCAGCGAGCUCGCUCCUUCUCCCGGCCUGUGCGGGGAUGUAGGGCGCGGGUCGCGGAGGCCGCGGGCGCGGCGGGGGCUUCGCGGAGGCCGCGCCGAGGAUGGAGAGAGCGAUGGAGCAGCUCAACCGUCUGACGCGCUCGCUGCGCCGCGCGCGCACCGUGGAGCUGCCCGAGGAUAAUGAGACUGCUGUUUACACACUGAUGCCAAUGGUGAUGGCCGACCAGCACAGGUCUGUUUCUGAACUCCUAUCAAAUUCAAAAUUUGAUGUCAAUUAUGCAUUCGGACGUGUGAAGAGAAGCUUGCUUCACAUUGCUGCAAACUGUGGAUCUGUGGAAUGCUUGGUUCUUCUGUUGAAGAAAGGCGCAAACCCUAACUAUCAAGAUAUUUCAGGCUGUACACCCCUUCAUCUCGCUGCUAGAAAUGGACAGAAGAAAUGCAUGAGUAAAUUACUGGAGUACAGUGCGGAUGUCAACAUUUGUAAUAAUGAAGGCCUUACAGCAAUACACUGGCUGGCUGUGAAUGGGAGGACAGAGCUCCUCCAUGACCUCGUGCAACACGUCACAGAUGUGGAUGUGGAGGAUGCCAUGGGGCAGACAGCGCUACACGUAGCCUGCCAGAACGGGCACAAAACGACAGUGCAGUGCUUGCUAGACAGCGGUGCUGAUAUUAACAGGCCGAAUGUAUCAGGAGCCACGCCACUGUACUUUGCUUGCAGAAGAGUGUGUCUGAUUUUCUGGACCUGGAUUCACAGUCAUGGUCAGAGAGAUACUGCACAGAUUCUUCUAUUACGAGGAGCCAAAUAUUUACCAGAUAAAAAUGGAGUAACCCCUCUAGAUCUAUGUGUACAGGGUGGUUACGGACAGACUUGUGAAGUGUUAAUUCAGUACCACCCGAGGCUUUUCCAGACUAUUGUUCAAAUGACACAGAAUGAAGACCUUCGGGAAAACAUGUUACGGCAAGUUCUGCAGCAUUUGUCUCAGCAAAGUGAAAGCCAGUACCUAAAGAUCCUGACAGGCCUUGCUGAAGUUGCUACGACAAAUGGCCAUAAGCUGCUUAGUUUAUCUAGCAAUUAUGAUGCGCAGAUGAAGAGCCUUUUGAGGAUUGUGAGGAUAUUUUGUCAUGUCUUUCGAAUUGGUCCCUCAUCUCCCAGUAAUGGAAUCGAUAUGGGCUACAAUGGAAAUAAAACUCCAAGAAGCCAGGUGUUCAAGCCUUUGGAAUUGCUUUGGCACUCAUUGGAUGAAUGGUUAGUUUUAAUAGCCACAGAAUUAAUGAAAAACAAAGAGGAUUCAACAGAUAUUACUUCUAUCUUGCUGAAACAAAAAGGCCAGGAUCAAGAGGCCCCUUCUCUUUCUGCAUUUGAGCCACCAGGCCCUGGGAGCUAUGAAAGCCUGCCCCCUGGUCCAGGGGACUCCAAGCCAGAGGUGCUUGCAGGGGAGCAGGAAGCCAGUGCCGACUGUCAAGACGUCAUCUCUGUGACAGCCAACCGGCUGAGUGCUGUCAUUCAAGCCUUCUACAUGUGCUGUUCCUGUCAGAUGCCUCCAGGAAUGACUUCACCUCGUUUCAUUGAGUUUGUCUGCAAGCAUGAUGAAGUAUUGAAAUGCUUUGUGAAUAGAAACCCCAAAAUUAUAUUUGACCAUUUUCACUUUCUUCUUGAAUGUCCUGAAUUGAUGUCAAGAUUCAUGCAUAUCAUAAAAGCACAGCCAUUUAAAGAUCGAUGUGAGUGGUUCUAUGAACAUCUGCACUCAGGACAGCCGGACUCAGACAUGGUCCACAGACCAGUGAGUGAGAACGAUAUCCUCCUGGUUCACAGAGAUUCUAUUUUUAGGAGUAGCUGUGAAAUUGUAUCAAAAGCAAACUGUGCAAAGCUAAAGCAGGGGAUUGCUGUACGAUUUCAUGGAGAAGAAGGCAUGGGUCAAGGCGUUGUGCGUGAAUGGUUUGAUAUUCUGUCUAAUGAGAUCGUCAACCCUGACUAUGCACUGUUCACCCAGUCAGCAGACGAACCAGCAUUCUCAGGAACUCAGUAGAUAGUGGAGGAAUAUACAGAACUGGGAGAAGAAAGUAGAGUCACCAAAAUCUUUGCUGGUUCAUCUAUAGUCCAAGUAUUAUCACAUACGUAGGAACAACUUUCCAGCCCAACAGCAACUCCUAUGUCAAUCCUGAUCACUUGAACUAUUUCCGGUUUGCUGGACAGAUCUUGGGGUUAGCUUUGAACCACAGGCAGCUGGUCAAUAUUUACUUCACACGAUCAUUCUACAAGCACAUUCUCGGUAUUCCUGUAAAUUACCAAGAUGUAGCAUCUAUUGAUCCUGAAUAUGCCAAAAAUUUGCAAUGGAUUUUAGAUAAUGAUAUUAGUGACUUGGGUCUAGAAUUGACUUUUUCUGUUGAGACUGAUGUAUUUGGAGCUAUGGAAGAGGUGCCUUUAAAGCCUGGGGGUGGAAGUAUUCUUGUGACACAAAAUAACAAAGCGGAGUAUGUCCAGCUCGUUACUGAACUGCGUAUGACAAGAGCCAUUCAGCCGCAGAUCAAUGCGUUUUUACAGGGUUUUCAUAUGUUCAUCCCGCCUUCCCUCAUACAACUGUUUGACGAGUAUGAAUUGGAGCUACUGCUUUCUGGCAUGCCGGAAAUUGAUGUAAAUGAUUGGAUAAAAAAUACAGAAUACACAAGUGGCUAUGAAAGAGAAGAUCCAGUUAUUCAGUGGUUCUGGGAAGUUGUGGAAGACAUUACUCAAGAAGAAAGAGUUCUUCUCUUGCAGUUCGUUACUGGCAGUUCCAGGGUCCCGCAUGGUGGCUUUGCCAAUAUUAUGGGUGGAAGUGGUUUGCAAAACUUUACAAUUGCUGCUGUGCCAUAUACUCCAAAUCUUUUACCAACUUCCAGCACAUGCAUCAACAUGCUCAAGUUACCUGAAUACCCAAGUAAAGAAAUACUCAAGGACAGACUCCUUGUAGCACUGCAUUGUGGCAGCUAUGGUUAUACAAUGGCAUAAUGAAGCCUGGAAGACUCAUCUGCGACUGAUGCACAAUCCAGAGUGACAGAAGUAAUUUAGGCAGCUGUCAGAAAGGCAGCCUCGCCUCGACCCACAGGCAGAGAGUGCCUGCUUAAAAUUCAUAACGAAUCAGGUUUUCUAUUUUACAUUUCUUUUCCAUGUUUUGUUUUUCUAUGUUUGUGAUACAAUUAGAAAAUAUAAAAUCAUAGUAGACUUCAUUUUUUAAAAUGCUAAUUGGAAGUAGACACUUUUUUUUUUAGGUUUCUUUAAUCUUAUCUAAAACUCUUAAGACAAACUCUUUUCCUGCAUUCCACCUCUGCUGUGACGCUGUCUAGUUGAAAGGGCAUUUGCUGUAAAUUAUAUGAGGACAUCCAGCUGGUGUGUUCUAUCGCAUGUAAAGUACCAUUUAUAUUUUGGAAAAAUGUAAAGAAUGGAUUAAUUUAGAUUGUGUAAAGCCAUAAAUAUGUAUUUUCCCACGUUAUACUUAUAUUGCAAUGGGUUUUAUUUUUUUGUUGUUGUUUAGCUUUUUAGUAUUUUGAUACAUGGUAUAAAGUUUAGACUGGUAUGCCGAACAACGGAUAAAGUGAUAUAUAAUUUAUAUAUUAAAGCUUACACUAUAUGAAUUAUUUGCAUCUUUCUGUGCUCAGUUUCAUGUGUGUGUAUAUAUUCUGUGUGGUCUCAGUUUUUCUUAUGCCUUAAUUUAUACUGAAAAUAAAAUUAAAAUAUAUUUAUCUUA